rnacentral:lncRNA from 1 species
AUGCUGGUUGCCCAUCUGAAUUGCUUGGGGAGUUUAUCAAGGACCUAUUUAGAGUUCCCCAUCUUGGAUAUCCUGAUUAAGAAGUCUGAUGUGGGGCCCAACAAUCUUCAGUUCAAAGAAAUUCAAGUGAUUCUGAAGUACAGCCAGCUUCAAGAACCGCUGCUCUGGGCCAGUUUUGUCCUCCACUCCAGGAGAACAUCUGUGACUCCCCACGGAAACAUCAGUGCCAUGAGGUUCCCAAGGUCAUUCAUCCCACUAGUGAGCAACUCCAGGCUACGAUAUGCUUUCUUCAUCUCUACGGCCUGUGGCUACCUGCCUUGGAAGUCCAGAGAGAGGCCAGGCAUGACCCAGAACUUGAAGCUGAGUGAGCAGCAGCCUCCUGGGCUUCGAUUCAGGGACCAUACAUUCCAAUCUUCCACCUUGACUCACCUCAUCAGGAACAUGGAAAACCUCCACAUUGUCUGUGUUGACAUAUUGACCUUACUCCAAGUUAUGGGGAGCGUAUGUUUUAAAAUUCACUGGACAUAG